rnacentral:rRNA from 1 species
UACGUAGGGGGCAAGCGUUGUCCGGAUUUAUUGGGCGUAAAGAGCGUGUAGGCGGCUUGGUAGGUCCGCUGUGAAAACUCGAGGCUCAACCUCGAGAUGUCGGCGGAAACCGUCUGGCUAGAGUCCGGAAGAGGAGAGUGGAAUUCCUGGUGUAGCGGUGAAAUGCGCAGAUAUCGGGAGGAACACCUAUGGCGAAGGCAGCUCGCUGGGACGGUACUGACGCUGAGACGCGAAAGCGUGGGGAGCAAACAGG